CUGUUGUUAGUAAACUUAUCGCCUAUCAAUAAUCGAAAACUUUCCUAUUCAUUGUGAACUUUCAAAACAUUGAAACAGUUUGAGAAAUAGAGAACUGUCACAGAUUUAGAUGAAAGUUGAACCGAAUGUCAUAGAAAUUGAAAAUGUCCAAUGAAAAUAUAAAAACACAUACAAUAGCAAAUAGUACCCGGACUGAAGUUGACGGUAAGACAUAUGAAAACAUUUCAACCGUCAAUACAAGCGGAGAAAUGACCAACGGGCAACCCGAAAGAAGAAAAUCGUUGGACCACACGAAAGAUGCACUGGUGAGACCGAAGAGAAAAACAUCCCUGGACCAUACAUGGGAACCUCAGAGUCAAGUAGACAUUGAUGUGCGCAUAUGCAAAGCAUUAUGUAAAAACGAGGAAAACAAAUUUAUGAAUAUGGAUAGAAUGUUUGAUAGACAAAAACAUGAAGCUAUAAAAUCACAAGAUUUUGCUAUGUCAAAAUAUCAUAAGAAAUUGGAACGAUAUAAAAAGGCCAAAAGUUAAAAGGAAAAGCGUCGUUUGAAUAUGUUUCAACCAAACAUAACUCAUUACCUGUUGAUUUGUUAUUUUACUUCCUUAUUGAUAUUCAAAUGAUAUUAUAACAUGCAAUUGUUAUCACAUAAAGAGAUGUCAAUGUCCACAUGAAUUGGGUAAAUUGAAUUAACUCAUGAA